rnacentral:rRNA from 1 species
CAAUAGCGAAUAUUAAAGUUGUUGCAGUUAAAAAGCUCGUAGUUGGAUUUCGGGGCAGCCUGGCUGGUCCGCCGCAAGGCGAGUACUGGUCAGCCGCCCUUCCUCUCGAAAGCCCCGACUGCUCUUCGUUGCAGUGGUCGGGUAGUUCGGGACGUUUACUUUGAAAAAAUUAGAGUGUUCAAGGCAGGCCUACGCCUGAAUACAUUAGCAUGGAAUAAUGGAAGAGGACCUCGGUCCUAUUUUGUUGGUUUCCAGGGCCGAAGUAAUGAUUAAGAGGGACAGUUGGGGGCAUUCGUAUUUAAUUGUCAGAGGUGAAAUUCUCGGAUUUAUGAAAGACGAACAACUGCGAAAGCAUUUGCCAAGGAUGUUUUCAUUAA